rnacentral:lncRNA from 1 species
AUGUAUUCACCAGGGGAGGAGCGGGAUGAAAGCGCUUUUAACCUCCCCGCCAUAAACUUUAAUCGGAUUCCGAGCUGUUGCACGGCAUGGACUCCUCGCCUCUUCUCUGCGUCUCCUUCCCCGUUGUCUCCCAUUUCUACUACGAUCUGCUUUGCGAGAGCCUUUUCCAAGCGAAUGAGUGAUUCCUUUCUCUUGCCAUGUGCAAUCUUUCCCCCCUCCCCUUUCUACCCUCUCUGGCCUCUCUUACACACACUAUGUCUUUCACAUGCGGUCUGUGCCCCCCAGUCCCCUCCCUUUCUUUCUCUUUUGCAGUGUCUUCGCAUGCAAUCUCUCCCUGAAUGUGCAAUGUCUUUCCUGCUCGGGAGUGCUGCGUCCUUCACAGUGGAUUGGUUCCUCUUUCGGAGCAGAGAUCACGGGAAAAGAGAAAAGCAGUCGAAUAUUGUGAUAAUCCUGGGAGCCUGCAGAAGCUGGUUGAUAGACUUACAUGAAGAAAUUGUUACAGAUGUCAUGUUUUGAGGAUGGCUGAUCCUGUGCUUGGAAGCCAGCCAGAGAUCAUGAGGAUUGCGACUCUUCUUGAGCUUAUUACAAUGACAUUACGAGGAACAGAACAGCUUCAACCAGAUCAAAAUCAAUUUAUUCAGCUUUUUACUGCAAAGGAAGGGAAAGCCUCUGCGUGUUACAGCCUUGAGUUUCUUUAUGCCUAAUGAUGCUGUGCUUACUUCAAAUUGAAAUGGGCUUCCCAAAAGUCGAAUUUUUAAAAGGUUUUCUGAAGUCUGGAGAAAGGUAAGAGAAAAGCAGAAACUACUUUUUAUCAGAAAACAGAUAAAUAAAUAAGCCUAGUGUCAAAGUAACGUGCUUGACACUAGGUGGCAGACAAGGCAACCAGGAAAAUCCUUGAGCAAACUAACCCUAGCUGUGUGUUCUUUUGUGGUUGUGUAGCUCCUUGUAGUUUAUCAUCUCUUGACAAAUAUGCAGCAAAAGCAGGGAGUCAGUACAGCAAAUACGCUACUUGCAGUAGAGAUUUCUUUCACAUGCUAUUGAUUGACCAUAUCUUUUAGUGUUCAUGAUUAUUCGAGGAGUGAAUAACAUUUUGAGAAGCCAUUGAUUGUAAAACCAC